rnacentral:rRNA from 1 species
GAUGAACGCUGGCUACAGGCUUAACACAUGCAAGUCGAGGGGAAACGACGGGGAAGCUUGCUUCCCCGGGCGUCGACCGGCGCACGGGUGAGUAACGCGUAUCCAACCUGCCUCUGACUGAGGGAUAACCCGUCGAAAGUCGGCCUAAUACCUCAUGGUAUCGUCUGCGGGCAUCCAACGACGAUUAAAGAUUUCAUCGGUCAGGGAUGGGGAUGCGUCUGAUUAGCUUGUUGGCGGGGUAACGGCCCACCAAGGCUACGAUCAGUAGGGGUUCUGAGAGGAAGGUCCCCCACAUUGGAACUGAGACACGGUCCAAACUCCUACGGGAGGCAGCAGUGAGGAAUAUUGGUCAAUGGGCGAGAGCCUGAACCAGCCAAGUAGCGUGCAGGAAGACGGCCCUAUGGGUUGUAAACUGCUUUUAUGCGGGGAUAAAGUGAGGGACGUGUCCCUCAUUGCAGGUACCGCAUGAAUAAGGACCGGCUAAUUCCGUGCCAGCAGCCGCGGUAAUACGGAAGGUCCUGGCGUUAUCCGGAUUUAUUGGGUUUAAAGGGAGCGUAGGCCGUGGAUUAAGCGUGUUGUGAAAUGCAGGUGCUCAACGUCUGCACUGAAACACGAACUGGGUCCACUUGACUGUGCGCAACGCAGGCGAAUUCGUCGUGUAGCGGUGAAAUGCUUAGAUAUGACGAAGAAACUCCAAUGCGAAGGGAGCUU